AUUUGAGAUUUGAAAUCAGAAUUGGAAAGAGAUAUGGAAUUAGAGUUGGGAAUUUGUGAAAGGGAAAGUAGAUCUACGUUUUGAAGGUGAGAGGAGAGAGGAGAGAGGAGAGAGGAGAGUGUAGAGAGUAGAGAGGAGAGAAUAUAAUCAUGGUUAGUUAUUUCUGGUUAGGUUAGUUUGGUCUGAUCAAAAUUGAGGGUAUGAAAGACAUUAGACAGACAUAAUGUGUCUAACCAGCGGGAAGUGUCUAAAAGUGUAAAACAUAAGACGAAAAGUGUCUUAUAGAGUAAAAAAAUCUGUUUUCAUUACUUGAAAGAGAAAACAAAGGUCUGGAGACAAUGAGUCAAACCAAAAUGUGAGGUACGGAUGUGGAUGUGUUUAUCUAAUCUAAAUCAAGAAAAUAUUUUGCACAUUUUAAAAAUAUUGGGUGAAAGCGUGAAUAACCAAAACGUGAGGGACCACAAAUUAAAAAAAAAACUGAAAAUUCACCAUUGUUGCUCUCACUCUCUAGCAUGACCCAAAUCACCAACUAGCAGCAGAUCAAACUCGUUGACAUCAUCAGCUUCAUGAACUUCUCCAAUUUCAGCCCUACUCUGCGUUUGUCGUCGCACAGGUUCAGUCGUCCUCCGCUGAAGUAGAGAGGUGCCGUCGUCACACAUUCAAACGCAACUUUCUUGUCUUCUUCUUCCCCUUGCUCCUCCACAUCUCCUUUUCACUGACACAGAACAAGCAAUUAUGAAAUAAUUUUCAGACCAAAACUUCGUGUCUUAUGGCACCAAAAAGAUCUCGUCCUCAACUCAUCUUCUACAAAUCAAAAUCAAAGGAAAACAUUGAGGAUUAAAGACAAACCUGGUGCUAACUUGACGUUUCUAUGUCGUAGUGAGCGCAAGGGAUCGAGCUCAGAGAUAGAUUGGAAGGUAGAGUUGGUUUGGUCAAAGAAACAAGCUCUUAAAAAUUACCGAGAGAAAGACCUAUGAAUUUAUGAAGUUUGUGAUAUUAUUAUUGAGAAAGUAAAAAAAAACAGAGAAAAAAAAAAUUUUCCAGAGAAAGGUUGAGUUAGGAAGAAGAAGAGAGUUUGAAAUUAGAAUUAGGGGAUUUGGAAAAAUAAAAGUAGAUUAAGAUUUGAAAUCAGAAUUGGAAAGAGAUAUAGAAUUAGGGUUGGGAAUUUGUGAAAGGGAAAGUAAAUCUACGUUUUGAAGGUGAGAGGAGAGAGGAGAGAGGAUAGAGGAGAGAGGAGAGUGUAGAGAGUAGAGAGGAGAGAAUAUAAUCAUGGUUAGUUGUUUCUGGUUAGGUUAGUUUGGUCUGAUCAAAAUUGGGGGUAUGAAAGACAUUAGACAGACAUAAUGUGUCUAGCCAGCAUGAAGUGUCUAAAAGU
rnacentral:lncRNA from 1 species